CCUACGGGUGGCAGCAGUGAGGAAUAUUGGUCAAUGGUCGCGAGCCUGAACCAGCCAAGUCGUGUGAAGGAUGACUGCCCUACGGGUUGUAAACUUCUUUUAUAAGGGAAUAAAGUGAGGCACGCGUGCCUUUUUGUAUGUAUUUUAUGAAUAAGGAUCGGCUAACUCCGUGCCAGCAGCCGCGGUAAUACGGAGGAUUCGAGCGUUCUCCGGAUUUAUUGGGUUUAAAGGGUGCGUAGGCGGACUGUUAAGUCAGCGGUAAAAGCCCGGGGCUCAACCCCGGCGAGCCGUUGAAACUGGCUGUCUUGAGAGGUCGAGAGGUAUGCGGAAUGCGCGGUGUAGCGGUGAAAUGCUUAGAGAUUGCGCAGAACUCCGAUUGCGAAGGCAGCAUACCGGCGGCGAUCUGACGCUGAGGCACGAAAGCGUGGGUAUCGAACAGGAUUAGAUACCCCUGUAGUC
rnacentral:rRNA from 1 species